UUAUAAGUCACAGUUUUUGGUGAGGGCUUCCAGGUUCUCUUUGUAUAGAAGUCAGACCCAAACAUUCUUUGCAGCUGGUUGUGACAGGCCCACCCAGUAAAGUUCAUGCCCCCACAAUGCACAGCAAACGUUUUCCUUAAAUAUGUUGAUUGAGUUGAAAGGACAGAACUUUCUCUUUUACAAAUCAAAAUCAACGAAGGUUUCUAAUAUUUAGUCAACUUUAUUGACUCAAAGGUAAAUCUAGACUAUUUCCUAUGCACAAUUUUUUCUGAAUCAUCAAAUUAGUUCUACACAGGUUUUAAACUUUAGGCACAAUCUAUCCCAAAUGCAAGAUCCCUCCUUUCAUUUUUUAUUUAUCUAUUUUAUUUUGGGAAAAUAACUACCAGUUUUUAACUCAAAACAGCCUAGUACAGUUUCUAGCCAGGUUACAGGAAAUAAUACUUAGUUUAUCUGUUUUUUCAUUAUUCAGCAUCUCAAAAUCCAGCCAUUAACGUUAAUGGUUCUUAAAGUUGAGGUAAGACAAUUAUUGGAUUUUGUUUUAUAGCAAGAUUUAACAAAUAUUUUAUUUCCUGACUGAUUAUUUGUUAAUUUUAUGGUUUUCAUAAAGAUGAUCCUGAGAGGUUCAGAGCUGCUUUUCGCAGUACCCUGUGCUAUUUUUAGACUGCGGGACUCCUGUGUGUAAAAGUGGGUGGAGUCAGGUCCCCAGGCUGAAACUCCAGUCAUUCUCACUAAAUCUGUCCGAGAGGAAGGAUCUCCUGAAUACCCUAACCAGAAGCCUUAAGUCUCUCGAACUAAAUAACCGUCUAGUAAAAACAUGGACCGCACCCUGUUUCUCAAGCAGCUGCUCCCUCUAUUAAAAACUGAGUCAUUCAGAAGAUCCAGCGAAAGCAGCUCAUGCAAGAAGACACGCAUCCACUCAUUCACAUGGCACAGACGACAUUCUUUGUUUGUCACAGUCCUUUUUUUUUUUUUUUUUUUAAAGUAAGUCAGUUCGUCACUUAUUUAUUCUCUCUCUCUAUAUAUAUAAUAUUUUAAGCACAGAAUUUAUUUAACACUGCACUGGUUAUUUUCAGAAUUUAAUGCUUACUAUGCUUUUAAGCAGGCCUUAUGUAACAUUAGAGCAAAUCCAAUUGCAAUUUUUUUUGAGAGCGCUCUGAGGAAUAGUUUAUAUAUUUAUUUUCUGCAGAUCUGUUUUGAUUUUACUGUUUAGCAGCUAUAUGACUAUAUUUCUAAAAUAAAGCUGUCAUUUACAUCCUUA